UACGUAGGGGGCAAGCGUUGUCCGGAUUUAUUGGGCGUAAAGAGCGUGUAGGCGGCCAAGCAGGUCCGCUGUGAAAACUCGAGGCUCAACCUCGAGACGUCGGUGGAAACCGUUUGGCUAGAGUCCGGAAGAGGAGAGUGGAAUUCCCGGUGUAGCGGUGAAAUGCGCAGAUAUCAGGAGGAACACCGAUGGCGAAGGCAGGUCUCUGGGCAUUAACUGACGCUGAGGAGCGAAAGCAUGGGGAGCGAACAGG
rnacentral:rRNA from 1 species